AUUGCUUCUUGGCCUUUUGGCUAAGAUCAAGUGUAGAAGCAAAUAUCUAUUCACAUCAAACUUUAGAAUGCAAAUCUGGUAUGAACUUCUGCAUAUGAUUUUGUCACCUAAUUUGUUUAAAAAUUCUAAUUACAGCAACAGUUUUC
rfam:Homo sapiens chromosome 11, GRCh38 reference primary assembly.